rnacentral:tRNA from 1 species
GGGUGUGUGGUCUAGUGGUAAGAUUCUCGCUUAGGGUGCGGGAGGUCUCGAGUGCGAUUCUCGACUCAGCCCA